rnacentral:rRNA from 1 species
CUACGGGUCGCACCAGUGAGGAAUAUUGGUCAAUGGGCGCGAGCCUGAACCAGCCAUCCCGCGUGCAGGAUGACGGCCCUAUGGGUUGUAAACUGCUUUUCUAUGCCAAGAAACCUGAUUACGUGUAAUCAGUUGCCGGUAGCAUAGGAAUAAGCAUCGGCUAACUCCGUGCCAGCAGCCGCGGUAAUACGGAGGAUGCAAGCGUUAUCCGGAUUCAUUGGGUUUAAAGGGUGCGCAGGUGGGCUUGUAAGUCAGUGGUGAAAUGCUGCCGCUUAACGGUAGAACUGCCAUUGAUACUGCGAGUCUUGAGUAUGGUUGAGGUAGGCGGAAUGUGUUGUGUAGCGGUGAAAUGCAUAGAUAUGACACAGAACGCCAAUUGCGAAGGCAGCUUACUAAGCCAUUACUGACGCUGAGGCACGAAAGCGUGGGGAGCGAACAGGAUUAGAUACCCCCGUAGUC